AUUUUGCAUGAUAAAAAGAGAUAGAGGGCUUGUGGCCAUUAUACAAAUGCAAAAUGACCCAUUUUUUUUAUAGUUUGUGGCCAUUUUACAAGAUAAAAAUAAAUUUAGCCCUUAUAAAUUUGGCCAUUUUACAUUUGUGUAUAACAAAAAGAACGACGCAAAAAACGAUGCAAAAAUACAGAGCCAUCACGUUCACAAAAAACAGAGCAAAUGAUGCAAAAAAACGACGCAAUUCGACGGCCCAACCAAAGCUUGGUUUCCUUUUGGGCCCAAUAACAAUGUUUUUUUCAAGGAGUCAGUGGUGGGCGAGCAACUGAGCACAACAAUAGGAUCGCCUCUUGCGGAUCGCCCCACGAUCCAACGAUGCGGAGCCGUCCUUUGUUGUUGCCGCCCUCUCUCUCUCGCCUCUACACUCGCCUUGCACUCGAGGAGGAAGAGGACCGGAGGAGGAAGGACACACAGACACAAUGACUUUCCCGGCCGGCGCAUGAAUGCCCCAAUCUUUUUUUCUUGUAUUCACAGGCUACAUCACGACUCACUGUUACAACUGAGGAGUACAAUGGCUUCUAUAGGCUGGGAACACACACCCACUAGAGCACGUACUCCAUCCUUGCCCUACCCAUGCCACGAUGCCAACUAACUCCGACUCAGUCUCCCUAUACACACGUACGUAGCUCACCUGCAUGCACUAACAGCCUCAACGUACAGCCGGCUUUGUAGCUAGCCAAGACGUAGCACCCACGGACUCUCCCUGGUGAUCCGAUCAUCCGAUCGUGAGCCCGGGUUUCUCGUCCGCACGACCUCAACGUCAUGUUGCUUCGCUGUGCCUGCUGCAUACUACGUCGCCAUCCGACUACAAGCCACGAGCACACACACUACACAUCUCCCGCAUGUCCCGCGCGCACUCGACGCACCCGACGAGCCCGACCGCACCACCAGUGCGUCCCGCACGUCCCGCGCGCACCCGCCGCGUCCGACGAGGCCGACUGCACCAGAUGCCAUGGCUUAUUCCAACACACUCCCCCUAAGCCACAACGUCGCCGCACGGCCUGCCGACAGGAGCCCUGCCUCGUCGACGUCGUCUCAGCACCGUGGACUCCUCCGCUGCGUCUUCGGCACAAGCCACCGCUCGCCGCGUCUCCGUGCCGCGCGCCUCCACGGUUGUCGCGCCGAGGCGCCGCGACCUCUGCGCCACCACGCAGGUCCUUCGCGACCUCCACGUCUCCGCGACCGCCGUGCUCUUUGCGCGCACUCCCACGUCCCCGCGCUCCCGGCCCGCGCUCCCGCCGCGCACGUACGCGAUCUGCGCGACCAGAUCCAGCGCCCCGACGCAGUCCACUCCCGCGGUCCCGACGCGCUCGACGCGUCCAGUGCGCACCCAUAACACGCACCGGUCGCGCCCGGCCCGCCGCCGUCGUCAUCGCCAUGCGCCGCAGCCACACCGCCUCGACCUCCAUGUCCGCCGUGCUCGUCGCGGACUCACCGUGCACCACCUCCGCAUCCGCCAUGACAGCUGUAGCGCCGCGCACCUUCACAGGCCGACACACGGCCCGGAGCUCCGCGCAGCCGCCGACGAAUGCCGCCAUUGCCGGCACGCCUCCGGCAUGGCCCAAGAUGACCAAGCUCAUGAUACCAAUUGUUGUUGCCGCCCUCUCUCUCUCGCCUCUGCACUCGCCUUGCACUCGAGGAGGAAGAGGACUGGAGGAGGAAGAAGGACACACAGACACAAUGACUUUCC
rnacentral:lncRNA from 1 species